AGCUGCGUAAAUCUUCAUCAAACAAUGUUGUCGUGGCGCCUCCUUUCAUUCCCCCCUAGCAGUGGAUCUGGCUCAAGCUCUGUCCGUAUCUCCAUCUCCAUCUCUGAGUCGUCGUUGGCGGUGUCGGCAAAAACGAAUGAAAAAUACGCCAACUCACGGUCAAUUGCAAUUCAAUUAGACGCAAUUAGUGCCGAGGCACGCAUCGGGGGAUAUUCAUGCGAGAAUUACAUAGUUAGAAGAGCUGUCGGAAGAAGAGGAUUGGAUGCAGGAUGCAGGAUAGGGGGCGAGGCGAGGCGAUGGCGAUGGCGAGUCAUGAUUUGCAGUUGAGCUGUGUGCGUCUGCUAAUGGUAUAUUUGCAGAUGAAGAUACAUCCACAUCCACGCAGGCGGCGGCGUCGGAGGCGGCAGAAAAAGUAUCUCAUUAGACGUGCAGCUACAUGGCAACGGCCGCUUAACUCAUUCAUCAUCAUCAGACAAGGGGCGGGAACGGUAUCGGAAUCGGGUUCAGUAUCGCUCUCGGUCUCGGAUCUGUUGAGCUGGCCAUGCCAUAGACACAGACACAGACACAGAAACAGAUACAGAUACAGCUACAGAUACAGUAGGUUGCAGGCAGGCUGUCCUGCAGCAACAUGCGACUGCAGCUUAAUUGCAAAAUGACCCAAUGAGUUCUUGUUGCUGGCACCACGAGUAGUAGCCCCGACUAAGCUGCAGCUCUUGCCUCGGGUAGUGGGACUGGGAGUCCUUCUCGUUCGUGUUUAAUUAGUCUGAGCGCUGAUUCUGUAAGAUACACCGAAUACAUAUACACAUGACGAGGCACAUAAUUGGGCCAUCUCAUGUUCCCAAGGAAGCUCAA